rnacentral:misc_RNA from 1 species
GACGUAGGGCGCAAGCGUUGUCCGGAUUUAUUGGGCGUAAAGAGCUCGUAGGCGGCUUGUUGCGUCGUCCGUGAAAACCUGGGGCUUAACUCUGGGCGUGCGGUCGAUACGGGCAGGCUAGAGGUAGGUAGGGGAGAUUAGAAUUCCUGGUGUAGCGGUGAAAUGCGCAGAUAUCAGGAGGAACACCGGUGGCGAAGGCGGAUCUCUGGGCCUUACCUGACGCUGAGGCGCGAAAGCGUGGGGAGCAAACAGG